GAUGAACGCUGGCGGCGUGCCUAAUACAUGCAAGUAGAACGCUGAAGGAGGAGCUUGCUCUUCUGGAUGAGUUGCGAACGGGUGAGUAACGCGUAGGUAACCUGCCUGGUAGCGGGGGAUAACUAUUGGAAACGAUAGCUAAUACCGCAUGACAACAGUUAUUGCAUGAUAACUGUUUAAAAGGGGCAACUGCUCCACUACCAGAUGGACCUGCGUUGUAUUAGCUAGUUGGUGAGGUAACGGCUCACCAAGGCGACGAUACAUAGCCGACCUGAGAGGGUGAUCGGCCACACUGGGACUGAGACACGGCCCAGACUCCUACGGGAGGCAGCAGUAGGGAAUCCUCGGCAAUGGACGGAAGUCUGACCGAGCAACGCCGCGUGAGUGAAGAAGGUUUUCGGAUCGUAAAGCUCUGUUGUAAGAGAAGAACGAGUGUGAGAGUGGAAAGUUCACACUGUGACGGUAGCUUACCAGAAAGGGACGGCUAACUACGUG
rnacentral:rRNA from 1 species